CGAAGCAGACCAGAUGGCCGCCGCCCUCCUUAGCCUUUGGCGAAGGAGGGGGGAGGAAAGUCCGGGCUCCACAGGGUAUGGUGCUGGAUAACGUCCAGCGGGGGUGACCCCAGGGAAAGUGCCACAGAGAGAAGUCCGCCCGCCCAGCUUUAGCAAAGGUAGGUCCGUCCGAGGUAGCACCGGAGGCGUGCCUGCCCGCCGUAGCUUCAGCGAAGGCGGGUAAGGGUGAAAGGGUGAGGUAAGAGCUCACCGGGUCCGACGGCGACGCCGGAUGCCAGGUAAACCCCACCAGGAGCAAGACCAAAUAGGGAAGCGUUAAGGACGGCCCGUCCGUGCUUCCGGGUUGGUUGCUUGAGGGCGUCGGCAACGGCGCUCCUAGAUGAAUGACCAUCGCCCGCCUCCGGGUAACCGGCUGCGGGAACAGAACCCGGCUUACGGGCUGCUUCGGCCA
rnacentral:RNase_P_RNA from 2 species